UUCCAUGUCCGUAUAUGUCUGUGUAUGUGUGUUUGGGUCCUUAUGCGCAUAUGUCCUUAGACCAGAUGUGCAAAAUGCAAACAAACGGCAAGCUUUUUAUUGGUCACGGAAGUCAG
ensembl:snoRNA T28B8.11 ncRNA